CCUACGGGAGGCUGCAGUGGGGAAUAUUGGACAAUGGGGGGAACCCUGAUCCAGCCAUGCCGCGUGUGUGAAGAAGGCCCUCGGGUUGUAAAGCACUUUCAGUGAGGAAGAACGCCUGGUGGUUAAUACCCAUCAGGAAAGACAUCACUCACAGAAGAAGCACCGACUAACUCCGUGCCAGCAGCCGCGGUAAUACGGAGGGUGCGAGCGUUAAUCGGAAUUACUGGGCGUAAAGCGCGCGUAGGUGGCUUGAUAAGCCGGUUGUGAAAGCCCCGGGCUCAACCUGGGAACGGCAUCCGGAACUGUCAAGCUAGAGUGCAGGAGAGGAAGGUAGAAUUCCCGGUGUAGCGGUGAAAUGCGUAGAGAUCGGGAGGAAUACCAGUGGCGAAGGCGGCCUUCUGGACUGACACUGACACUGAGGUGCGAAAGCGUGGGUAGCAAACAGGAUUAGAUACCCUGGUAGUC
rnacentral:rRNA from 1 species